rnacentral:misc_RNA from 1 species
UGGCUCUCGCAUCGAUGAAGAACGCAGCGAAUUGCGAUAAGUAAUGUGAAUUGCAGAAUUCAGUGAAUCAUCGAAUCUUUGAACGCACCUUGCACCCUUUGGUAUUCCGAAGGGUAUGCCCGUUUGAGUGUCAUUGUAAUCUCACACUUGUGAUUUGUUUCUCAAGAGGUGGACUUGGAGGUUGCAGCUUUCGUUAGCGGCUCCUCUCAAAUGCAUUAGUGUGCUUUUGACCUAGCAUUACAAACCAGCGUAAUAAGAUUUCGUUGGGUUGGCUUGGUUUGGCUUGCUUACAGCCGUCCUUCUGGACUGUCGCGUCUGCGGCAUUUGACAACUUGACCUCAAAUCGGGUAGGACUACCCGCUGA